GACGAACGCUGGCGGCGUGCUUAACACAUGCAAGUCGAACGGAAAGGCCCUGCUGUUGUGGGGUGCUCGAGUGGCGAACGGGUGAGUAACACGUGAGUAACCUGCCCUUGACUUUGGGAUAACUUCAGGAAACUGGGGCUAAUACCGGAUAGGAGCUCCUGCUGCAUGGUGUGGGUUGGAAAGUUUCGGCGGUUGGGGAUGGACUCGCGGCAUAUCAGCUUGUUGGUGGGGUAGUGGCUUACCAAGGCUUUGACGGGUAGCCGGCCUGAGAGGGUGACCGGCCACAUUGGGACUGAGAGACCGGCCAGACGGCUUCGGGCGGCAGGAGUGGGGGAUAGUGCACAAUGGGCGGAAGGCUGAAUGAGGAACGCCGGGUGCGGGAUGACGGCCUUUGGGGUGGAAACCGCUUUCGGCUGUUACGAAGAGGGAAUGACGGUAAUGGGUAAAGAAGCCACGGCUAACUACGUG
rnacentral:rRNA from 1 species